CCUACGGGGGGCAGCAGUGGGGAAUAUUGGACAAUGGGGGCAACCCUGAUCCAGCCAUGCCGCGUGUGUGAAGAAGGCCCUCGGGUUGUAAAGCACUUUCAGUGAGGAAGAACGCCUGGUGGUUAAUACCCAUCAGGAAAGACAUCACUCACAGAAGAAGCACCGGCUAACUCCGUGCCAGCAGCCGCGGUAAUACGGAGGGUGCGAGCGUUAAUCGGAAUUACUGGGCGUAAAGCGCGCGUAGGUGGCUUGAUAAGCCGGUUGUGAAAGCCCCGGGCUCAACCUGGGAACGGCAUCCGGAACUGUCAAGCUAGAGUGCAGGAGAGGAAGGUAGAAUUCCCGGUGUAGCGGUGAAAUGCGUAGAGAUCGGGAGGAAUACCAGUGGCGAAGGCGGCCUUCUGGCCUGUCACUGACACUGAGGUGCGAAAGCGUGGGUAGCAAACAGGAUUAGAUACCCCAGUAGUC
rnacentral:rRNA from 1 species